rnacentral:lncRNA from 1 species
UGGGUAGCAAAGCAGAAGAAUCGCUGCCUUGUAGAGCAGCACUGAGGAGUAAAUUCGAUGGCGAGGGCUUGCCAUGCAGAGUUGAAUCAUCACGACAGAGCCGACUAUAUUCAGUAUCUGGCCCUUGAUAAGAAUGCUUUGCUGACCCUUGCAAUAGAGAAACAAUAACCAAGAUGAUGAUUCAUCACAGUUGAUGACCCAGAAUGCUGAUUUUCCCAGAAAAUGAAAGAGAGAAUACACCUGAAUAAUUGAAACGUCUAACUUCACAAGAAAGCAGACUGAGGCCAAAGGAGGUGUUGGACUGGCUCAGGUCAUAAGGCCGCUUAGGAGCCAGGGCAGAAAUGUAAUCCAGAUUUUCUGUCUUCCAUUCAGUGCUGCUCGCAAACCACUGCAAUUCAACUUAAAUAAAGCAGCUAUUCAAGGGAGAGGUUUGAAUGGGAGAUGGGGAGGUGUGGGCCCAACCCCAGGAAGAAGAGACUGGAGGAUGACUGCUCUGAAGCAACAGAAGAAAAACAGAAGAACACAACAUAAUAGAAAAGCAAAUACACCGAAACACACUUCUAUACCAAGCCAGCCAAUCUGCUGACCAGGAACUAGCAGCGGCAAGGUGUACUUCUAUGUUACAACUAGAAAUAUCCAUUCCCCAGCUGACAGAUCUAAAAUGCAGUAUCUAAAAAGGCACUUUAGGAGUACCAAUGUAUCAUUUGCAAAAGUAUAUGAUGUUUAGAAUUAUCAAACAUAUGAAAGUUGAGGACCACUUAUGUCAUAUGACAAUUACAAC